ensembl:snRNA U1 U1 spliceosomal RNA
AUACUUACCUGGCAAGGGAGAUACCAUAAUCAAGAAGGUGGUUCACCCAUAGCUAGGCUCAGCCAUUGCACUGAGGCUGUUGCUGACACGUGCGAAUUCCCCAAAUGUAGGAAUCUCGAUUGCAUAAUUUCUGGUAGUGGGGGACUGCGUUCGCGCUCUCCCCUG